rnacentral:misc_RNA from 1 species
ACCAGAGAAAUUACUUCUUCCUUUCUUCCUUCCUUUUUAUUGGUACACAGGAAUCUCGGGCGGAAGUAGAGGAUUUCGCGGGAAACAAGGGUGUCGCCGUGCCACCGUGGUUGUAAUUCUCCGUAGCGAGAAUUUCAUAAAUAAAAAAGUUCCGCAACGACGCGGACGCGAAGUCGACGAGUGGUUGGAGAAUAAGAAGUUUACCGAGCUGGCUCUGUUGCCGCUCUUCUUAUGGAUGCGAAGAACUUGGAGAGUUAAUUGAACGAAAGAGCAACGAGGCAGCUCUCCGAAGUCCUCGAAGAAACAAAGAAAGAGUCAUAUAAUGUGGAAC